GUUUUAUAGAUAAUGUUGUAGAAAUAGUUAUCAUUUCUUCCUUAAAUAUUUGGUAGACCAAACAAGCUUUCAAGGUCCAUUUAUAAGAGAAUGUAGGCUAGUCAAGCUUACAAGACUCCAGACAUCGAAAUGAGAUUCUGCAUGUGGCAAUCUGCCUUUAUUU
rnacentral:snRNA from 1 species